AUUACUGGCUUGUGUUAUGUAAUUGUCAUUUUUUGUGUAAAAGCUUAAAAUGUCAGAAUUAAGAACUUACUCUUAUCUAAGCAACAUAUGUGACCAAAGUAUUUUCCUGAAUGUUUCAGAAUCUCCUCAUAAAAUGGGAAAUACUUAUAGUGGGUGUUGUUUUGUAAGAAUUAACAGAAAAGAUAAAACAUUGCUGAAUCAUCAUUUUCUGUUUAUAAUGGAAUGUGUCCAGCUAUAUUGACCGCUGGUCCAACAAUGGACAUCUAUCAUGCCAACGCUUGACAAGAAACGGACGACCGCGCGCACCUUGCUGCUGCUUCAGGCGUUUCGAAGUUAACCAUAAAACAUCCUAGGGUCUUCACAAGGACUCUGAAGCAACCUGUAAUGAAGAGAUUAACUUCCUAGCCAGGUGAAUAGUUUCGUGUCUUUUCCACAUUCUUGAUGUAAUGGAGUCAGGAGUCCACACCGUACUGUGUACCAUUUUGCUUCCUUGAUAUUUAGCCUUAUUGUUCACGAAUCAGCAGUUGAUACGGAAGGUCUCGCUUGUCUCCAUGGUAAUAUGACAUGAGACAGUGUGUCCUCCCUUGUCACGUGAUUCAUAUUCAACGACUUUUAAGCAUCUUUGGAGAUUUGAUAUGCUAAAGUUGGAACACUCUCAUUAAAUUAAAAUGCAUGUAUAUCAGAUAGGAUAUAGAUAUGGCGACUGCUCUCAGGGUGGGAAUGCUGUCACGUGAUCAAAGCACUACAUGAGACAGUGUGUCCUCCCUAAGGUUCAGAUUUAGCCAGAUGCUGCUAUAACCCGGAUGAUAGUGAAUCAUAUAUCAUGCAACUUUAUUCUGACCUUUGAAUAGUCGUAUAUAUAUAAUUACUAUACAAACUGUAUGCCAAUAAAAUGUCAAAAUGAAGUAGUUGUUCAUUGAAGUGUGUCUCUUACAUGUUGGUGUAUCAACUGUUUAGUUGUCAGU